UCAGGCAAUGCUCUCCCCACCUGAGGAAGUUUUGCUCUGGGUCCUAAAUCCCUAAAUGUCCCCACAGGAGGAACCCGAGUACUUUCCUCAUAUCAAACUGGCACCAGUGUGAUACUGGUAGUAGGACAACGCCUGAUCCAAGCAUGUUUGGGGGUGUUCAGUUUGAGUCCGUGCACAAUCGAGCUCUGUCUGGGGUCGGAGUGGUGUAUGACCAAUGCACAUGUGGUUCCUGUGGCUUUCCUUUCGUUUGCUUCAAGAAAUGUGAUAAUUCCCAAAAGGUGAGACAUCAGCAUGGAGCUUGAUUGAAGAUCCAUCCGAGAGGACAAUUUAAUUAUCAAACUUCCUAAGUCUACGCUUGGUAUAGACCUGAGCCGACCAGCUC